GAACGCGCUCCAUUCAGUAGCAAUACUGAUGAAGAGUGAGUGGCGAACGGGUGAGUAGCACGUGAGCAACCUGCCCCGAAGACUGGGACAACACCGGGAAACCGGUGCUAAUACCGGAUAUCCCUACCGAAUCGCAUGAUUUGGUAAGGAAAUGGAUUCCGCUUCGGGAGGGGCUCGCGGCCUAUCAGCUAGUUGGUGGGGUAAUGGCCCACCAAGGCUUCGACGGGUAGCUGGUCUGAGAGGACGAUCAGCCACACUGGGACUGAGACACGGCCCAGACUCCUACGGGAGGCAGCAGUGGGGAAUCUUGCGCAAUGGGCGAAAGCCUGACGCAGCAACGCCGCGUGGAGGACGAAGGCUUUCUGAGUUGUAAACUCCUUUCAGCAGGAACGAUAGUGACGGUACCUGCAGAAGAAGCACCGGCCAACUACGUGCCAGCAGCCGCGGUGAUACGUAGGGUGCAAGCGUUGUCCGGAUUUAUUGGGCGUAAAGAGCUCGUAGGCGGUUUGAUAAGUCGGGUGUGAAACCUCCAGGCUCAACCUGGAGC
rnacentral:rRNA from 1 species